rnacentral:rRNA from 1 species
UACGUAGGGGGCAAGCGUUGUCCGGAAUUAUUGGGCGUAAAGAGCGUGUAGGCGGCCAGAUAAGUCCGCUGUGAAAUCUCGAGGCUCAACUUCGAGCUGUCGGUGGAAACUAUCUGGCUAGAGUCCGGAAGAGGAGAAUGGAAUUCCUGGUGUAGCGGUGAAAUGCGCAGAUAUCAGGAAGACACCCGUGGCGAAGGCGGUUCUCUGGGACGGUAACUGACGCUGAGACGCGAAAGCGUGGGGAGCGAACAGG